rfam:Gossypium hirsutum cultivar TM-1 chromosome 1, whole genome shotgun sequence
GGGGAUGUAACUCAAAUGCUAGAGUGCUCGCUUUGCAUGCGAGAGGCACGAGGUUCGAUCCCCCGCAUCUCCA